GCAAGGCUGGUUCAAUAUACGCAAAUCAAUAAAUGUAAUCCAGCAUAUAAACAGAACCAAAGACAAAAACCACAUGAUUAUCUCAAUAGAUGCAGAAAAGGCCUUUGACAAAAUUCAACAACCCUUACCUUCAUGCUAAAAACUCUCAAUAAAUUAGGUAUUAAUGGGACGUAUCUCAAAAUAAUAANNNNNNNNNNNNNNNNNNNNNNNNNNNNNNNNNNNNNNNNNNNNNNNNNNNNNNNNNNNUCAGAGGAUCAAGGUCAGUGGUUCUUAGAACUUUAAAAGAACUUUGGAACCACACCAGAAAUAUAAUCUGUAUCUCUGCCACAAGCACAAUGCCCUACCAAAGCAAAAUACCAAAGCUUAUUUCUGUGUUGUUUACUAAGAGGGCACAAGGAGCUGCUUCUGCUUCCCAUCAGCACAGUCCUUAAACUAGCUGAGGCUGAGGGAGCACAAUUUCCUCCGCAGGGUACUUACUAAAAGAAUGAAGAAGAAUCAAAAGGCAGUUUUUGGUAUUAGUUACAUAGUCAGAAUUUCCAAAGAUAUUUACAUGUGAAUGCCUCAUUUUCAGGCUCCUCUGACAUGUAUUUCCAAUUUUUAAGGGACUACAGAUGAUUUACUGACACGUUCUCUUCCCUUGAAAAAUGUAUCGAUCCCUUAUUUAAAACGGCCCUUCUCUCUUCCUCUUGAUGCAAGUCAAAUAUGAUCCUAGGCAAAAUAACAUCUCCUUCCUCUAAAUUCUUAAUUCUCUACAGCAUGAGCCAUAAACUGCCUUGUGACACUAUUCUAUUAUUAUCUCAAAUGAUAAUUUUAAAUCUGUGACUCAGCCUCUUAUUGUACCUCUACCUCAGAAAUAGUCACAUCAAAGACAUGGGGUUAUGCUGUAUAGCAAAUAACAAAGGUAAGGAUGAGUUGCCCUGGGCAUGGCUGUCGGGUUGAGGGAAGAGAAGAAGGAGCAAGAAGGCAGAACUCAAACAUUAGCACAGAACAAUGCCUGGGUUGCCUGAUAAAUGAAAUCGGGAAGCCAAAGGCACGUGGCAUUAUCUUGUGGAAUUUCAGGUUGGGCAUAUUCUAUCACCUAACAAUUCAACUCCUGAACAUAUAUCCUGAAAAAAUAAUAUGUACAUAAAGAGGGCAGAAAAGCAUGCAUCUACUAGCUAGGACUGUCUAAAAAUACAACAGCAAAAAUAAAUUUCUAAUGCAAAAAAAAAAAAAAACCCAGACUUGUUAUAUUUCAGCUUACUAUUUCAGUUUAUGUUAUUUAGAAUGCAUCCCUGAAUCAUGUUCUAAUGGUCUGUAUCAAUUUUAUGUCAUAGUACUUCUUUAUUACUUCAUAUAAUCACAAUUUACACUUAAACCCUAUAAAUUCUAAAACUGGCAGCGGAUACCAAUUAUGUUUAUGGAAAGUCUCAACUUGGCUGUACUUCUUUUCAUAACUGGAAUUUCUCUAAGACUGGAAGUAAAGUUAGCUGUUGGGAGACUGAAACUUAGCACUUUCAUUUCAUUACCCCCCACCGUCAGGGAUUCACUCACAGGGAAGCAAAAAGGCUUGCCAAGCCCCACAGAAAUUACUCACUUCCACUCUCUCUUUCCUCAUCUCUCUUCCAAAUGUACUUCAAAACCUAAUUUUAAACUCAUGCAGGAAAUCUGAUUAACACCACUUGG
rnacentral:lncRNA from 1 species